AUUGAACGCUGGCGGCAGGCUUAACACAUGCAAGUCGAACGAGUGGCGGACGGGUGAGUAAUGUCUGGGAAACUGCCUGAUGGAGGGGGAUAACUACUGGAAACGGUAGCUAAUACCGCAUACCAUCAGAUGUGCCCAGAUGGGAUUAGCUAGUAGGUGGGGUAACGGCUCACCUAGGAGACGAGCCCUUGCUGGUCUGAGAGGUUGACCAGCCAUUCUGGAACUGAGACACGGUCCAGACUCCUACGGGAGGCGGCAGUGGGGAAUAUUGCACAAUGGGCGCAAGCCUGAUGCAGCCAUGCCGUGUGUAUGAAGAAGGCCUUCGGGUUGUAAAGUACUUUCAGCGGGGAGGCUUUAGUCACAGAAGAAGCACCGGCUAACUCCGUGCCAGCAGCCGCGGUAAUAC
rnacentral:rRNA from 1 species